ACAGCAGUAGCCGCGGUAAUACGAAGGGUGCAAGCGUUACUCGGAAUUACUGGGCGUAAAGCGUGCGUAGGUGGUGGUUUAAGUCCGUUGUGAAAGCCCUGGGCUCAACCUGGGAAUUGCAGUGGAUACUGGAUCACUAGAGUGUGGUAGAGGAUAGUGGAAUUUCCGGUGUAGCAGUGAAAUGCGUAGAGAUCGGAAGGAACAUCUGUGGCGAGGGCGACUAUCUGGGCCAACACUGACACUGAGGCACGAAAGCGUGGGGAGCAAACAGGAUUAGAUACCCAAGUAGUCCCUGUCUCUUAUAC
rnacentral:rRNA from 1 species